rnacentral:lncRNA from 1 species
CCACGCCUGCGCGCGAUAGUGCAGCUCUCUGCGGGUGCUUGCCAUCCCCACGGCUCAUUGGCGCAGCUCACCCUCCCCUGCUGGAGAAGUGUUCUAGUGGCGAGGGUUGUGCUGAAUAGAAAAUGAUGCCUUGUGCAGGUCCUGAACAAGUGGCGUGAUGGCAGCAGCGGCCGGAGGAGGAGAUGGAUGCGUGUGUAGGUCCUGAAUAUGUUGAAUGCAAGCAACAUGUAAGUCACGUUUGUUGUAAUCUUUUGCUUCAUUAUGGAUUGCGAUUUGGAAAUUACAUGAAGAAUAGCAUGUCACGUUUAGUUUCACAGCCAGGAUCAAAUGAGCGACAAUAUGACAAAUGAGUAAUAUUGCAAAUUUCAGUCCAUAAGCUACUUGCUGCAAUCUGUUUUGUUGCACUUGUUGUAGCUUAUUCAAAGGCAACAAUGGAAUUGUAGGUAGAAGUGGCACACAUAUGUAGCCCUCCGUACAUUGGCAACGGACACUUCAACCAUGAUUCAUAGAUGAAUCUGAAUUCACAUCUCCCCCAAAAAAGUAAGGAGUUCACAUAAUGAUUUCAUAAAUAAAACUAAAAUGAGUUCACAACGCCAAAUAUAUAUGAGCUCCCGGCUAAUAUAAGCUCACGACUCAGAGCAAUUGAAGAAACUGAGUUCAAAUAGAAGAAAACUACUUGAUGAAAUAAGUCUGGAACUCGCUGACAGGAACUUGAUUUAUGUUUAAUAAUAUGGCGCGGUUGUGUGCAUCAUUUGAUGUAGAGGCCGGGGUAAUCCCCUUUUCGAAAAUAAAGUAGGUAUAACAUCAAUUUCAUAGAGACCAAUCAUCCAAUUUGUAGCUUUCUCUUUGAUGUAAGCUUCUUUGCUGGAUAUGUGGGGUUUGGAAUGAGAAUAAUGUUAGACAGUCCAAUAAGCGGUAUGUGAUAGUAGGCCUUCUUUGUGUCAACGGGCAAUAUUAAACUCAUCUUUGUCUAGGGGGACAGUUCAGUAACUUAGAGUCAUACUAAACAUUUUUCUCCUCAGAAAAGAAAUUCCCCACUCCACAAAUAGUUCUUCUUCUUCCAGGUUGGUGCAUUGACGGAGUCAAUACACUAGUACAACCCCAGCAUGGAAGAUACAAAUUACUUCAUAUUUCUUGUUGUAAUUUUAGUGGUGACUUCCGUGCAAUGCCAGGGCGGCUGCCUAACAUUGUGGGGUCGAUUAACAUCUGCCACUGAGUCGCUGGAUCUACCUAUUAUUACUUUCAAUCCAGUAGUAGAGCACCCUGACUCAUUCAGCUUAGUAAGCAUCUGUAACAUCCCAAAUUUUCAAUUUGGAAUGUUAUACAUAGAUAAUCAUUGCAUAUCAUAUCUUUUUGCAUUUUGGGUUUGAUCCUAGAAAUUCUAAGCAACUCAAGGACCCACGAAGAGAGUUGGGGAUUUGGAAAAUUUCAUAUUUGAGUUUUCUCAAAUUUUUGAAAUAGGAUCAUUUGAUUUUAUUUAUUUUAUCUUCAAUUAUUUCAAUUACAAAAAUAUGAGAGAGGGAAUAAAAUGACUUUCCCAAAAUAAAGAAAUAUUGAGGAUUUAAUAAAAAAAUCAAAUAAGAUUUUAUUUUGGAUUUUACUGCUAUUUUAUUUGAAUUUAGGAAAAAUGUGCGUUUUUCAAAAUUGCAUAUAGGCCCCAAAUAAAUGUUCAUCUUGUCCGGGUUGAUUUUAGAAGUUGGGGAAAUUUAUUUCGGGAUUUUUGGAGUCCGUUUAGUAUUUAUUUUGUUUGUUUUUCUGCGCGAAAAUUAUUUUUAAAAAAAGUCUGAACCGACGUUGGGCCGUAACCGGCCAGGACUCCGCCUGGCCGAUGUCUUUAUAAAGCGCCGCCCCGGGCCGACCCCUGCCCAAGCCGCCGCCCAGCCCAAGCCGCCGCCGCGCCCCCAAACCCUAACCCUAGCGCGCCGCCGCCGUCGGACCCGCCGCUGAGGUUGACCCCGCCGCCGCCGUUUUUUUAGAAAAACCGUUCAGUUUUUCCGUCGGUUUUUCGUCGGUUUUUUUAGAUCGGUUUUUUUCGGUUUAGGUUAAUUAGCGAGCAUUCGCUCGUUCGUUCAUUUUAACGAACACGUUCAUCGUUUAGAUCCAGAUAACGAACGUUCGUUCGUUAGUCUGUUCGUCAUUUAUCUUUUUCUUGGAUUUAUUCCGCGUUUUUUCUGAUCGCGAUUUCUGAUCCGAUUUUCGUUUUAGUUUAUCUUUUCGCUCGCUUAUCGAAAUCAGGCGAUUCAAGCGCCUAGAGUUUCGUCUCGAAACCCUCUUUCCGUUUAAUCUACUCAAACAAGUUUUUACUUCUGUAAAAUUUGACUUAGGUCCAGAUUAGUAAACGAAGCUUGUUUCUUUCGCCGUUUGACUUUCCUUGUUUCGUUCGAUUUGAUUCUUUUUGCAAACCGGAGUUGUUAAGUUGAACAUUCUGGUUAGAUCUCUUAUUUGAGUUUUACUUGUGCAUUAGAUGAGUACUUAUUGUAUGCUUGUUUGUUUGUUUGCUUGCGAUAGAGUACCCGGAUUGCGCCGCUUGCUACUUCGAAUCCCUAUGUUUCACGGAUCAUCAGCAAGGCAAGUAACACUUUGAUCAUAUCCCUUUCAUACCCAGUUUUUAUGCAUUAGAUCAAUCCUCAAACAAUUGCAUGAUUAGGGUCUGUUUACUAUGUGGGUUUUGGGAAGUAGAUGAGGUAGUACCUAUUACCUGUUUUAUUAUCAAACCCUUGGGAGCUACUUGUACGUUUGCUUAUUAUGCCAUGCUAUGCUAGUAGACGUGGAUUGGGUGAGUAUAUCCAUGACAGAUGUGAGAUUGUUAAUUAAUGGUUUAUUUAAGGUGGCAACUUUAAUACACAUCUGGGUGGAUUGAGGCACUUGUGUCACGCCCAAUAUGCGACCCUAUCCAAAAGGAACUAGAAGGUCCCACCAAGGAUAGACCCGCAUAUUGAAACGCUUUUGCAAGGUGGAUAUCAUUACAUCAACAUUACAUAAUAGAUGGGGAUACAUACAUAAGGCAUACAAUGCCACACGAAUACAACAUCACAAUACAUAAGAGCAACAUCCGACUAUGGAUGAAACAUAAACAGAAACUCAAACGACAUCCACCCAGCUAGCCCAGGCUGCCGACCUGGAACCUAUCCCCUGAUCGAAGAAGAAGCAGAAGAAGAACUCCAAGACAAGCAAACAUCGCUCUCGCAUCAUGAUCAUCGCAAAACCUAUACCUGCAACUGUUGUUGUAGUAAUCUGUGAGCCACAGGACUCAGCAAUCCCAUUACCAUGGGUAUCAAGACUAGCAAAGCUUAAUGGAAAGGAAGGGGUAAAGUGGUGAGGCUGCAGCAGCGACUAAGCAUAUAUGGUGGCUAAACAUACGCAAAUAAGAGCAAGAAGAGAGCAAGAAGAACGGUCGUGAAGCUAGCAAUGAUCAAGAAGUGAUCCUGAACUCCUACUUACGUCAAACAUAACCCAGAAACCGUGUUCACUUCCCGGACUCCGCCGAAAAGAGACCAUCAUGGCUACACACACGGUUGAUGCGUUUUAAUUCGGAUCUGGUGUCAAGUUAUCUACAACCGGACAUUAACAAAUUCCCAUCUGCCUAUAACCGCAGGCACGGCUUUCGAAAGAUUAUACCCUGCAGGGGUGUCCCAACUUAGCCCAUGACAAGCUCUCGCGAUCAACGAAGGAAUAGACCUUCUCCCAGGAAGACCCGGUCAGACUCGGAAUCCCGGUUUACAAGACAUUUCGACAAUGGUAAAACAAGACCAGCAAAGCCGCCCGAUGCGCCGACAAUCCCGAUAGGAGCUGAACAUAUCUCGUUCUCAGGGCAACACCGGAUAAGCUAAGUGUAUAGCUGCCGACGUAACCCAAGUUGCCAAGGGAUGGUCCCGCACGGUGCUCUAGUUUGGACCAACACUUAGACAAGCAUUGGCCUGGGGGGGGCUGUAAUAAAGAUGACCCUCGAGAGCGCGACUCCCAAGGGAAAAAGGGCUAGGUGAGGCAAAUGUAAAACCAAGGUUGGGCCUUGUUGGAGGAGUUUUAUUCAAAGCGAACUGUCAAGGGGGUCCCAUAAAUCACCCGACCGCGUAAGGAACGCAAAAUCCGGGAACAUAACACCGGUAUGACGGAAACUAGGGCGGCAAGAGUGGAACAAAACACCAGGCAUAAGGCCGAGUCUUCCACCCUUUACCAAGUAUAUAGAUGCAUUAAUAAUAUAAGAGAUAUUGUGAUAUCCCGACAUAAAUCCUGUCCACCAUGGAGAAAUCUUCAACUUCACCUGCAACUAGCAAUGCUAUAAGAGGGGCUGAGCAAAAGCGGUAACAUACCCAAACAACGGUUUGCAUAGGAAAGGUGUCAAAGGUUAGAGGUUCAUGGCAAUAUGGGAGGCUUGAUGAGCAAAAGAUAGGUAACGCAGCAUAGCGAUAGAACGAAGCAACUAGCAUAGCAACGAUAGUAAUGAGAUUCAGGGUAGCGGUCAUCUUGCCUGAAAUCCCGCAAGGAAGAAGAACGAAUCCAUGAAGAAGACGAACGGAUGAAGCCGAACCAAGCGUAGAUGAACGAAUCCUCACGAUCGCAACGAAACAGGAACUAUCAAAAAGAAGCACACAACAUAGUAAACACAUCACACAUGAACAUGACAUGAUGCACGACAAGCAUGAUGCAUGACAAAUCUAGAUGAAGCUACUCAUGGCAAGAGAUGAUGCAAACAAGAGCAACACAUCAAGGCAAGUUUAAAUGAGACCGGGAGCAACAUAUAACAAUUCCGGUAAGUCCUCAUAUGCAUAUUUUGAAGUUGGUCCAGAUCUGAAUAAACCUUAUGUUCAAGUUGCUAAACAGAAAGUUAAGAUGCACAAGGAUGAUAUACACGAGAUUCUAGUCAAGUUACAUAUAAAGUUCAUUUAGUUCGGAGUUACGGCCUAGAAGAUAUGAGCAAAACAAGUUAAACAUGGCAUUGAUGCAAAAUGCAUACAAACAUCAAGAAAACACCUCAAAACAAGGAUGAAACAUGAUAAUAUGAAACUACAUGCAAUUCUAAGCAAGUUUCAUAUAGAGCACACUCAAAAUGGAGCAACGGUUCAACACACACACAUGAAACAAGUUUAAAGGACAAGCUGUCCAAAACAGCAACUAGGCAUAUUGCAAGCACCAAAACAAUAUGCUACAGGACCUCAACAAGAAAACAAAAGGCAUGGGCAUGAUGUACAGGUAAAGAAUUACAAAACAUGAACACUGAGCUAUCUCGAGGAAUCACUAGAACAUGCUCAAACACACAUGGUAAGAUUGCAAGUAAUAACAAUUUCAGACUUUGCAGAAAAUGACAUCACGAUGCAAUGUUUAGAGCUAUCAAACAACAUGUUACAGGAACUUAUCAUGGCAAACAAAGGCAUGGCAUGAUUCUACUCAAAGCAUAGAUCAAAAGUCCCUUACUGACCAUAAGCCAAAAAGGAUCAGAAAAUAUGAUGGCACCCAUGUAAACAUGGCAAGCUAUAUUACAGAUUCAUACAUGGCAGGAACAUAAUUAUGAAGGCAUGUAGAUGAGCUUGUACCACUCACCACAGAGAAAAACAUGGCAUGGCAAGGCACCCAAAAGUAAAAAGACAUGUUUGUGAAGCUAAGCAUGGCAAUAGCAAGUUCAUAGGGUGCAUGGAUCACUAGCAAAACACAUGGUACCAACAGAACUUAAUGUUAACAGGCUGACAGCAACAUUAUGAAGCAUAUUUGGAGCAAGAUAUGAACAAGCUACAACAACCUAUAAAUGCAACCAGGGGCAUGGAUGGAUAUAGGAUGACAUGUAGAUCAAAACAUGUUUAUAGAACAUCUCCAAAUUAUGCAUAGAAUGAUUAGUAGCAACAUGUUUAUAUAGCAUCACGAAAUAACAGAUUCAGCCUAGCAAAACAGCAACAUCAUGUACCCUACUUAAAAAGCUCGAUUCACUCACCACAAGUCAUUGCAUGACAAGAUAAGCAUAGAAUCAUCAAGAAGACAUGUUUAUGUAACAAACCAAGUCAAGAACAAGUCCAUAGCAUGCAAGGAUCAACUACAACAACCUUGGCCAAAUUGAAUAACAUGUAAACAAUCUGCCAGGAAACAUUUUGAAGCAAAAGUAGAGCACUCAAAUGACAUGGUAGACUACUCCAUAAUUACAACAAAGUGCAUGAAUGGAUAGAGCACAACCAUAUGUUCAAAACACCCUUACUGAAGUAUCUCUAAAUAUGCAUGGAUCUCUCUGUAGCAUCAAGUUUACAUGGCAUCAAAAUAACAGCAGAACAUGGACUAAAAUCAGCAACAUCACGAUGCCUAGUUUGCAUGCUUGUGCUAGUCACCACAUUGAUCACAAAAAUACAUGGUAAGCACCUCUGUAAAGAAGACAUAGCAUAGAUCAAAACACAUGUAGACAUCAACCUCAUAGGAUGCACACAUCAAUCAUGGCAAAAAAUGACAAAUGAGCUCGUUCUGUUAAGAAACAGCAGAUAACAUUAUGAAGCACUCUUACAACAAUGAUUUAGGCAUCAAGAUGACCUCAAAUGAAUAUGAUGUAAUGGAAUGAAAUGAUGUACUCGUUGGGGCGAACAAUUUGACAUAUUACACGCACAAAACGGAGCUACAGAUGCAGAGAUACGGCAUGACGAACAUGGCAUGAAAAUUACACAGAUUCGGGCACUUAGAAGAAAAUCACCUCCGCGAAAAGUCAACGCGGGAUGAGUUGGUUCCGGGACGGAGAGAUCCGGGAUGGGGAGGCCGUUUGGAUCAGCGGGCUGGUGGAUCUGGUCCAGCCCGGCCGGAUCCGGGACAAGGCAACUCCGGCGACGGCGGGCGGCGACUGGCGACGACGGGGCGACGGGGUUCCGGCGCGGGACAACUCCGGCGGGGUCCCGCGAGGAGGCAACGAAGAGGAGGCGAGGAGGCGCGCUGGCGGCGGGGCUCUGNNNNNNNNNNNNNNNNNNNNNNNNNNNNNNNNNNNNNNNNNNNNNNNNNNNNNNNNNNNNNNNNNNNNNNNNNNNNNNNNNNNNNNNNNNNNNNNNNNNNNNNNNNNNNNNNNNNNNNNNNNNNNNNNNNNNNNNNNNNNNNNNNNNNNNNNNNNNNNNNNNNNNNNNNNNNNNNNNNNNNNNNNNNNNNNNGCUGCGGGAUUGGGCGCGGGGGCGGCAACGAUGACGUGGCGGCCUGGGAUUGGACGAAGCGACGUGUCCGGUGGACAUGUCCGGCGCGGAUGGACAUGUUCGGCGGCGCGGUGGAGAAGGGGCUAGGGUUCAUCUGCGAAUUCAUCCGCAAAAUUCGGGGGAGGGGCUAGUUUUAUAGGUAGAGGGAGCUAGGAGAGUCCAAAUGAGGAGCGGUUUUCGCCCACACGAUCGUGAUCGAACGACCAAGAGCAUGGAGGGGAGUUAGAUGGGUUUUGGGCCACUUUGGAAGGGGUGUUGGGCUGCAAAGAGAAGGAGGCUUUACGGUUACCCGGUUAACCGUUGGAGUACCAAAGGAACUCCAAAUGGCACGAAACUUGACAGGCGGUCUACCGGUGCUAUACCAAGGCCACUUGGCAAGCCUCGGGCCAUUCCGAGAAAGUUUAACACCCACUCACAACAGGAGACGAAAAGGGGAACGCUGGAGGGCAUAGGAGCGCCGGAUUGCAAAACGGACAACGGGGAAAAUGCUCAGAUGCAUGAGACGAACACGUAUGCAAAAUGAAAUGCACAUGAUGACAUGACAAAAUGCAACACGCAAGCAAAUGACAUGGCAAUGACGGCGAAUAACUGGCAGACACCUGGCGCAUCGAAUCCGGGGCAUUACAACACUCCUCCACUAACAAGAGAUCUCGUCCCGAGAUCUUAGGACCGAGACGGAAGAGAAAAGGGAUGAGGUGAAGCAAGAACUGAAGUGAAGAAGCAAAGAAUCGAGAGCACUCGAGAAUAAGAGGAGAACGACGAGAAUGACGAGAAUCGAAAACUCACGGAAUCAGAUGGACUAUGAAACAACUCCGAUUAGAACGAGAUAAGAAACGAAUAAGACUGAAAGGAUUUAGACAACACUCCAGUUGAACAAGGGAAGAAUAGAACAUGAGAUAGAGAGGAUGGAAUGAUACUUGACGAGAGGAACAACACAAAACCUCCGGUAAGAAUUGAAAGAGUGGAAUGAAAAGAACUUAGAAGGAAGGAUUGAACGGAUUUGAAUAUCUGAGAAGAACGAAGAAAUGCAAAACUCCACUUCACAAGAAAAUGAAGAAUUAUUUGCGCUUCAAGACGCGAGAAGAAAAGAUACUUGAGCUCCUUGAACAAGAAUCUUGAUGAACACUUGAAGAAUGAAUUAAAUCAUGAAGAACCACCGUGAAGAACUCCGGUGAUGAAAGAAUGAUGAGAUAGAAUGAAGGAAGAAAGAAUAAGAUGAGCCUUGCGAUGAUUUAGAUGGAGGUUCCGACGAAAUGACCGAGGAAAUUUGAACUCCGGAAAAGAAAAGAUGAAAACACUUGGAACUAGAAUUUAUUCAUCACGAACAAACUCCGAAGGAAAGGAUUACUCUCUUGGAUGAAAUAAGAAUAAGAUUUAUUGUAUGCUUAUCCUUCAUCAAAUUAAAUUGAUGACAAGCAAUGGAUUUCGCAUCUUACUUAUUCUUCUUGAAAAAGGAUUGAGAAGGGAUAGCACAAAACCACGGGUAGGAUUGGAAAGAAUGAAUGAAUUAAUAUGAUAAACAAGGAAAAAGAAUCUUGAACGAACCAUCAUAAGAAAUCAAAAUGACUGACGAAAGAGAAUGAAUUACCGGGAAGAAUUAGAAGAAUCGAUAUGCUUGAGGGAAUUUAGAUGCAAAAUAACAAAGAGAUCAUGAGAUGAUUAAAGAACACUUGAACGAAGCACCGGGAUAAAUGGAUAACGGUAACUGAAAUGAUGGCCUCCAGUGAAACGAAAAGAAAUCAACUCUUGAAAUACUCCGGAUGGGUAAGAAAAGAAUAUCUGACAAACUGAAAUGAUUCGAGAUGGAUAACAAGAAGCUAGAGCCACGGAACUUCGGGAGAAGAGACAAGAUUUAGAGGAAAGACUCUUCUUCGAUCUUCAAAUGACGGCGAGAAAACACCACCAAAAUUACUGAGAUACUCCGGUAUGAUGACAAGCGAAGAGGUUGAGCCAGCAAUGAAAAGAAUUUGAACGAGAUCUAGGAGAAAGCAUGUGACUGAUGAAAUCCAUUCUUACGUCACUCUUGAAAAGAAUUUAGGAAUAACUCCGGGGGAAUUAGAAGAGUCAGGUAAGAUCCUGGAAAAAGACCUGUGGGUUAGGGCCCACUGAAGAGAUAACACCGUCGGAAAGGAUGAAGAACAGAUAGAUGAUGCACCGGAACGAUUGAAAUAUUUGAAUGAGGUGAUAACCUCGAAUUAAUUGGAACACAGACGGAUCUCCUGAGAUGUCUUGAAUACUCCGGAAGGAUAAACUGGCAAGAGGCGAACGAGCAGGGAAAACACUUGAACCAAGGAAAAGAAUGUGAUUAACCCGAAAAAACUUGAAUUCAGUGCACCGGAAAAGAAAGGGAUGAAGAAUGACGAACGAGACGAGAAUUCACCGGUUAGAAUAAUUGAUGAAAUACUGAAGAGACUCCACACGAAUGGAAUUUGAUGGUCGAAAAAGAGCCAGACUCCGGGAAGAAAAGGGUGGGAGGGCGGGAAAACAAAAUCAUCUUGGAAGGGGAAAUCGACGAAUAACUAGAGAGAAAACACCGGUUGAAAUCAUUGAGGAAAGAAAGCAAAGGCUUCGCACGAGUAGGAUGGAUACUCGAUUAUGGAUUCCGGUUUCAAGAAGAAGAGGGGUGGGCAGGUGGGAAAAGAAAACAACUGAGGAUUGAGCUCAAAGAUGAAGAGAGUCGAGUCAACUUGACGAGAAAAGCACCGGAUCAAAAGAGCUGAGAACCAACGAUCGAAAAACCAACUGCGUGAUCCUAAAGAAAAAUUUGAAAGGGAAGAGGAGUAAUUCAAAACACCUACGUCAAGAUUCCUUACCAGAGCGACGAAGGGACUGAGGAGUAAAAAGAAUUCCUACUCUCCGAUAUAACUAGACUCCGAAAACAGUUUACUUCUAGACUCAACAACGGCCAAACUACAUGAUCAAUCAAGGGGGGCUCCUAGGGUCGGUCGAGGCUCUGAUACCAACUUGUCACGCCCAAUAUGCGACCCUAUCCAAAAGGAACUCGAAGGUCCCACCAAGGAUAGACCCGCAUAUUGAAACACUUUUGCAAGGUGGAUAUCAUUACAUCAACAUUACAUAAUAGAUGGGGAUACAUACAUAAGGCAUACAAUGCCACAUGAAUACAACAUCACAAUACAUAAGAGCAACAUCCGACUACGGAUGAAACAUAAACAGAAACUCAAACGACAUCCACCCUGCUAGCCCAGGCUGCCGACCUGGAACCUAUCCCCUGAUCGAAGAAGAAGCAGAAGAAGAACUCCAAGACAAGCAAACAUCGCUCUCGCGUCAUGAUCAUCGCAAAACCUGUACCUGCAACUGUUGUUGUAGUAAUCUGUGAGCCACGAGGACUCAGCAAUCCCAUUACCAUGGGUAUCAAGACUAGCAAAGCUUAAUGGAAAGGAAGGGGUAAAGUGGUGAGGCUGCAGCAGCGACUAAGCAUAUAUGGUGGCUAAACAUACGCAAAUAAGAGCGAGAAGAGAGCAAGCAGAACGGUCAUGAAGCUAGCAAUGAUCAAGAAGUGAUCCUGAACUCCUACUUACGUCAAACAUAACCCAGAAACCGUGUUCACUUCCCGUACUCCGCCGAAAAGAGACCAUCACGGCUACACACACGGUUGAUGCGUUUUAAUUCGGAUCUGGUGUCAAGUUAUCUACAACCGGACAUUAACAAAUUCCCAUCUGCCUAUAACCGCAGGCACGGCUUUCGAAAGAUUAUACCCUGCAGGGGUGUCCCAACUUAGCCCAUGACAAGCUCUCGUGAUCAACGAAGGAAUAGACCUUCUCCCAGGAAGACCCGAUCAGACUCGGAAUCCCGGUUUACAAGACAUUUCGACAAUGGUACAACAAGACCAGCAAAGCCGCCCGAUGCGCCGACAAUCCCGAUAGGAGCUGCACAUAUCUCGUUCUCAGGGCAACACCGGAUAAGCUAAGCGUACAGGUGCCGACGUAACCCAAGUUGCCAAGGGAUGGUCCCGCACGGUGCUCUAGUUUGGACCAACACUUAGACAAGCAUUGGCCCGGGGGGGCUGUAAUGUAGAUGACCCUCGAGAGCGCGACUCCCAAGGGAAAAAGGGCUAGGUGAGGCAAAUGUAAAACCAAGGUUGGGCCUUGUUGGAGGAGUUUUAUUCAAAGCGAACUAUCAAGGGGUCCCAUAAAUCACCCGACCGCGUAAGGAACGCAAAAUCCGGGAACAUAACACCGGUAUGAUGGAAACUAGGGCGGCAAGAGUGGAACAAAACACCAGGCAUAAGACCGAGUCUUCCACCCUUUACCAAGUAUAUAGAUGCAUUAAUAAUAUAAGAGAUAUUGUGAUAUCCCGACAUAAAUCCUGUCCACCAUGGAGAAAUCUUCAACUUCACCUGCAACUAGCAACGCUAUAAGAGGGGCUGAGCAAAAGCGGUAACAUAGCCAAACAACGGUUUGCGUAGGAAAGAUGUCAAAGGUUAGAGGUUCAUGGCAAUACGGGAGGCUUGAUGAGCAAAAGAUAGGUAACGCAGCAUAGCGAUAGAACGAAGCAACUAGCAUAGCAAUGAUAGUAAUGAGGUCCAGGGUAGCGGUCAUCUUGCCUGAAAUCCCGCAAGGAAGAAGAAAGAAUCCAUGAAGAAGACGAACGGAUGAAGCCGAACCAAGCAUAGACGAACGAAUCCUCACGAUCGCAACGAAACAGGAACUAUCGAAAAGAAGCACACAACAUAGUAAACACACCACACAUGAACAUGACAUGAUGCACGACAAGCAUGAUGCAUGACAAAUCUAGAUGAAGCUACUUAUGGCAAGAGAUGAUGCAAACAAGAGCAACACAUCAAGGCAAGUUUAAAUGAGACCGGGAGCAACAUAUAACAAUUCCGGUAAGUCCUCAUAUGCAUAUUUUGAAGUUGGUCCAGAUCUGAAUAAACCUUAUGUUCAAGUUGCUAAACAGCAAUUUAAGAUGCACAAGGAUGAUCUACACGAGAUUCUAGUCAAGUUACAUAUAAAGUUCAUUUAGUUCGGAGUUACGGCCUAGAAGAUAUGAGCAAAACAAGUUAAACAUGGCAUUGAUGCAAAAUGCAUACAAACAUCAACCAAACACAUCAAAACAAGGAUGCAAUAUGAUAAUAUGAAACUACAUGCAAUUCUAAGCAAGUUUCAUAUAGACCACACUCAAAACGGAGCAACGGUUCAACACACACACAUUAAACAAGUUUAAAGGACAAGAUGUCCAAAACAGCAACUAGGCAUAUUGCAAGCACCAAAACAAUAUGCUACAGGACCUCAACAAGAAAACAAAAGGCAUGGGCAUGAUGUACAGGUAAAGCAUUACAAAACAUGAACACUGAGCUAUCUCGAGGAAUCACUAGAACAUGCUCAAACACACAUGGUAAGAUUGCAAGUAAUAACAAUUUCAGACUUUACAGAAAAUGACAUCACGAUGCAAUGUUUAGAGCUAUCAAACAACAUGUUACAGGAACUUAUCAUGGCAAAAAAAGGCAUGUCAUGAUUCUAAUCAAAGCAUAGAUCAAAAGUUCCUUACUGACCAUAAGCCAAAAAUGAUCAGAAAAUAUGAUGGCACCCAUGUAAACAUGACAAGUUAUAUUACAGAUUCAUACAUGGCAGGAACAUAAUUAUGAAGGCAUGUAGAUGAGCUUGUACCACUCACCACAGAGCAAAACAUGGCAUGGCAAGGCACCCAACAGUAAGAAUACAUGUUUGUGAAGCUAAGCAUGGCAAUAGCAAGUUCAUAGGAUGCAUGGAUCACUAGCAAAACACAUGGUACCAACAGAACUUAAUGUUAACAGGCUGACAGCAACAUUAUGAAGCAACUUUGGAGCAAGAUGUGAACAAGCUACAACAACCAAUAAAUGCAACCAGGGGCAUGGAUGGAUUGAGGAUGACAUGUAGAUCAAAACAUGUUUAUAGAACAUCUCCAUAUUAUGCAUAGAAUGAUUAGUAGCAACAUGUUUAUAUAGCAUCACGAAAUAACAGAUUCAGCCUAGCAAAACAGCAACAUCAUGUACCCUACUUAACAAGCUCGAUUCACUCACCACAAGUCAUUGCAUGACAAUAUGAGCAUAGCAUCAUCAAGAAGACAUGUUUAUGUAACAAACCAAGUCAAGAACAAGUCCAUAGCAUGCAAGGAUCAACUACAACAACCUUGGCCAAAUUGAAUAACAUGUAAACAAUCUGCCAGGAAACAUUUUGAAGCAAAAGUAGAGCACUCAAAUGACAUGCUAGACUACUCCAUAAUUACAACAAAGGGCAUGAAUGGAUAGAGCAUAACCAUAUGUUCAAAACACCCUUACUGAAGUAUCUCUAAAUAUGCAUGGAUCUCUCUGUAGCAUCAAGUUUACAUGGCAUCAAAAUAACAGCAGAACAGGGACUAAAAUCAGCAACAUCACGAUGCCUAGUUUGCAUGCUUGUGCUAGUCACCACAUUGAUCAAAAAAAUACAUGGUAAGCACCUAUUUAAAGAAGACAUAGCAUAUAUCAAAACACAUGUAGACAUCAACCUCAUAGGAUGCACACAUCAAUCAUGGCAAAAAAUGACAAAUGAGCUCGUUCUGUUAAGAAACAACAGAUAACAUUAUGAAGCACUCUUACAACGAUGAUUCAGGCAUCAAGAUGACCUCAAAUGAAUAUUAUGCAAUGGAAUGAAAUGAUGUACUCAUUGGGGCGAAUAAUUUGACAUAUUACACGCACAAAACGGAGCUACAGAUGCAGAGAUACGGCAUGACGAACAUGGCAUGAAAAUUACUCAGAUUCGGGGACUUAGAAGAAAAUCACCUCCGCGAAAAGUCAAGCGGGAUGAGUUGGUUCCGGGACGGAGAGAUCCGGGAUGGGGAGGCCGUUUGGAUCGGCGGGCUGGUGGAUCUGGUCCAGCCCGGCCGGAUCCGGGACGAGGCAACUCCGGCGACGGCGGGCGGCGACCGGCGACGACGGGACGACGGGGUUCCGGCGCGGGACAACUCCGGCGGGGUCCCGCGAGGCGGCAACGAAGAGGAGGCGAGGAGGCGCGCUGGCGGCGGGGCUCUGGCACGGUCGAGCGGCCGGCGAAGCUGCGAUCGUCGGCGAGGCGACAACGGCAGAGCUUGGCGGCGAGGNNNNNNNNNNNNNNNNNNNNNNNNNNNNNNNNNNNNNNNNNNNNNNNNNNNNNNNNNNNNNNNNNNNNNNNNNNNNNNNNNNNNNNNNNNNNNNNNNNNNNNNNNNNNNNNNNNNNNNNNNNNNNNNNNNNNNNNNNNNNNNNNNNNNNNNNNNNNNNNNNNNNNNNNNNNNNNNNNNNNNNNNNNNNNNNNNNNNNNNNNNNNNNNNNNNNNNNNNNNNNNNNNNNNNNNNNNNNNNNNNNNNNNNNNNNNNNNNNNNNNNNNNNNNNNNNNNNNNNNNNNNNNNNNNNNNNNNNNNNNNNNNNNNNNNNNNNNNNNNNNNNNNNNNNNNNNNNNNNNNNNNNNNNNNNNNNNNNNNNNNNNNNNNNNNNNNNNNNNNNNNNNNNNNNNNNNNNNNNNNNNNNNNNNNNNNNNNNNNNNNNNNNNNNNNNNNNNNNNNNNNNNNNNNNNNNNNNNNNNNNNNNNNNNNNNNNNNNNNNNNNNNNNNNNNNNNNNNNNNNNNNNNNNNNNNNNNNNNNNNAGAGGGAGGGCGCGGGCGAGGUGGCGCUGCGGGAUUGGGCGCAGGGGCGGCGACGAUGACGUGGCGGCCUGGGAUUGGACGAAGCGACGUGUCCGGUGGACAUGUCCGGCGCGGAUGGACAUGUUCGGCGGCGCGGUGGAGAAGGGGCUAGGGUUCAUCUGCGAAUUCAUCCGCAAAAUUCGGGGGAGGGGCUAGUUUUAUAGGUAGAGGGAGCUAGGAGAGUCCAAAUGAGGAGCGGUUUUCGCCCACACGAUCGUGAUCGAAUGACCGAGAGCAUGGAGAGGAGUUAAAUGGGUUUUGGGCCACUUUGGAAGGGGUGUUGGGCUGCAAAGAGAAGGAGGCUUUACGGUUACCCGGUUAACCGUUGGAGUACCAAACGAACUCCAAACUGCACGAAACUUGACAGGCGGUCUACCGGUGCUAUACCAAGACCACUUGGCAAGCCUCGGGCCAUUCCGAGAAAGUUUAACACCCACUCACAACAGGAGACGAAAAGGGGAACGCCGGAGGGCAUAGGAGUGCCGGAUUGCAAAACGGACAACGGGGAAAAUGCUCAGAUGCAUGAGACGAACACGUAUGCAAAAUGAAAUGCACAUGAUGACAUGACAAAAUGCAACACACAAGCAAAUGACAUGGCAAUGACAGCGAAUAACUGGCAGACACCUGGCGCAUCGAAUCCGGGGCGUUACAACUUGGUUAUUCCAGGAUUGCCUGAUUGUUUUUGGACCGCCACCCAGGCUCAAAGAGAUCAUAAGAUUGUUCAUGCUAGAAACUUUCGUGUGCAGCCACAUGCUAUUAUGGGCUCUAGCAUAGUUGAUUAAGUCGUGCGAACUCUUACAGAGGUAGACUAGCAGAUGUAGGGGAUGUAAGUGGUACGGUCUACCCAAUCGUAAGGUGCUAGCGCUUCUGAUAGACUAUGUCUCGGUCAUCCGUUUCUCAAACACCAUGCAGUGCGAGAAAACAAACGGAGGCAAUCGAGUCUUGUGAGGAAAAGUGCGCAACCUCUACAGAGUGUACAAACUAAUCAUGAUUAGUCAUGUCCCUGGUUAUGGACGUUUUGAGUAUCUAGUACUUGGAUUAUCAUGUGAAUCUCAUCAUGUUACUUUAAUUAAUAUUGUUGGGUUUUAAUGAUGAUGCUUAAUUGGGAUUGAGAAUGCUGUCAACCAUUCUCAGUGUUUAACAACCACCAUGAUAGUUAAAUAAAAUUUAUUCCUUUGCAGUAGGGAAAAACUAGCUUUAUGCAAAACUGUAACCAUUGAGCUUUUCCACCAGCCAUACAUGCAUGUAGAAUAUCCAUGUCAUUUCAUUACUCUCUAUGUGUUACAUUGCCAGCAUAUUCCAUGUGCUGACCCGUUUUUGUCUGCAACGUUCAUGUUGCAGACUUUUUAGACGAUGAGUAAGAUGCCUUAGGAUCGUGGUCCUAUACUCAGUGAUGCCGUUGGAGUUGAUGGACUCACUUAUCUUCCAAGCCUUCCGUUGUUAUCGUUAUUAGAUGGACUUAAGCCAUACUUAUUGUAAUAAGCUCUCUUUUGAGCCAUUCGAUGUAAUAAGUGUGUGAUUGCCACUCUGUUAUAAAUCUUUCAAGUACUGUGCAUGUCAGCAUUACUGAUCCAAUGAUGACACUGAUGCACAGAGAUCAGACUGUUUGAGGUCUGGUCGCUACAGCAUCCUUUGUUCCCUUUCUUUUGGUUGUUUGAAUCAUUUGAUUCCACUUUGUUUCCAUCACAGAGAAAAAUUACCACCAAUUAAAUCGACCCGUGGUGAUAAUAUAUGUGAUCAAUUUAUGUUUGUCAUCUUCGUGUUCUUGCACGAUUAACAUCCAUCAUCUGUUUUUGGAAUAAAGAAAUGUAACUACUCUAUAUAUACUUUUCUGUCAGUUAGUCUAAUUGUUUAGCAUCUGUUGCAAUGAGUGACAGAGUUUUCUAUUUAAUUAAAUAGCUAACUUUUUUUCCUGAUAGACUGCAAUGUUAUCUCUGCUGAGAUUAUUUGAGCAAAUUGUUUCUUGUUAUCCAAAAAAGAUUGCCACCAUGGCUAUACAGUAAUAAAAUGAAUUUAUUCAUUAUUGCAGAGAGAACUGUCCAACACUACUUUCUUGUCAAUUUUUGCAUGUCCAACCUUCUCAGAAGAUGGCAUUAGGCAGUUUACUUUCUGAUGGAGACCACUUCUGAUGCUACCUAGAUUGGCCGAUCUACUUUUUUCAUCAGCGACACUACUAUCCAU